rnacentral:rRNA from 1 species
UACAGAGGAGGCCAGCGUUAUUCGGAAUUAUUGGGCGUAAAGGGCGCGUAGGCGGCCAUGCGUGUCUUCCGUGAAAUCCCUCGGCUUAACUGAGGACGUGCGGAAGAAACUGCAAGGCUUGAGUCCGGGAGAGGGGGGUGGAAUUCCCAGUGUAGCGGUGAAAUGCGUAGAUAUUGGGAGGAACACCGGUGGCGAAGGCGGCCCCCUGGACCGGUACUGACGCUGAGGCGCGAAAGCGUGGGUAGCAAACGGG